UGUGCAGGCGGUUGCUUAAGUUUGGUGUGAAAUCUCCCGGCUCAACUGGGAGGGUGCGCCGAAUACUGAGUGACUCGAGUGCGGGAGAGGAAAGUGGAAUUCCUGGUGUAGCGGUGAAAUGCGUAGAUAUCAGGAGGAACACCGGUGGUGUAGACGGCUUUCUGGACCGUAACUGACGCUGAGACACGAAAGCGUGGGUAGCAAACAGGAUUAGAUACCCUGGUAGUCCACGCCCUAAACGGUGCAUAUUUGGUGUGGGUCAUUCAGUUGAUCCGUGCCGGAGCUAACGCGUUAAAUAUGCCGCCUGGGGAGUACAGUCGCAAGGCUGAA
rnacentral:rRNA from 1 species